rnacentral:rRNA from 1 species
GACGAACGCUGGCGGCGUGCUUAACACAUGCAAGUCACGGGGGGCUCCGCGAGGAGGAACCGGCGAACGGGUGCGUAACACGUGAGCAACCUGCCGUUGUGAGGGGGAUAGCCGGGCUAACGCCCGGGUAAUACCGCAUACGGUCGUUUGGGGGAGUCCCUGGACGAAGAAACCUGUGGGGCAACUCAUGGGGCACAGCGAGGGGCUCGCGGCCUAUCAGCUAGUUGGCGGGGUAAUGGCCCACCAAGGCGGCGACGGGUAGCUGGUCUGAGAGGAUGGCCAGCCACAUUGGGACUGAGAGACGGCCCAGACUCCUACGGGAGGCAGCAGUGGGGAAUCUUGCGCAAUGGCCUAACGGCUGACGCAGCGACGCCGCGUGUGGGAGGACGCC